UACAGGGGGGGCAAGCGUUGUUCGGAAUUACUGGGCGUAAAGGGCUCGUAGGUGGCCAACUAAGUCAGACGUGAAAUCCCUCAGCUUAACUGGGGAACUGCGUCUGAUACUGGAUGGCUUGAGUUUGGGAGAGGGAUGCGGAAUUCCAGGUGUAGCGGUGAAAUGCGUAGAUAUCUGGAGGAACACCGGUGGCGAAGGCGACAUCCUGGACCAACACUGACACUGAGGAGCGAAAGCCAGGGGAGCAAACGGG
rnacentral:rRNA from 1 species